rnacentral:guide_RNA from 1 species
AAUGCAAAUAGAGAUUGGUAUGUGAUGAUGAAGGUAAUAUA